rnacentral:rRNA from 1 species
AUUGAACGCUGGCGGCAGGCCUAACACAUGCAAGUCGAACGAGUGGCGGACGGGUGAGUAAGGUCUGGGCAUCUGCCUGAUGGCGGGUGCUAGGUGCUGGAAACGGUAGCUAAUAGCGCAUACCAUCCUUUCUGCCCUGAUGGGAUUAGCUAGUUGGUGGGGUAACGGCUCACAAAGGCUACGAUCCCUAGCUGGGCUGAGAGGAGGACAAGCCAAACUGGAACUGAGACACGGUCCAGACUCCUACGGGAGGCAGCAGUGGGGAAUAUUGGAAAAUGGGCGAAAGCCUGAUGCAGCCAUGCCGCGGGGAUGAAGAAGGCCUUCGGGUUGUAAAGUACUUUCAGCAGGGAGGCGGUACCCGCAGAAGAAGCACCGGCUAACUACGUGCCAGCCGCCGCGGUAAUUC